CCUUAAGGAAGAGACCCUAUCAAUAUUGCCUCUGCUUUUGUGAUCAGGGUAGUAGUGCAAUAUUGCUUAUAGGGUCUUUUCUUUGGAGGGU
ensembl:miRNA